UGGCAUUCUGGCAGGAGUCCAUGCAGUACGGCAGACACACGCAGGGCCAGCAGCUGUGGAUGGAGUGGAAAGGAGAUGGAUUAGAUGUCAGUUUGCUUGCUUUCACCCCCUUUCCAGGCCACCCCACUCGUUAUCUGACUCAACUCCAGUUCCAGUUGAGAUAACAAUGUUUUCACGUAUCACCUGCAUACAGUCGCAAUACCUAGAAACCUAUUGUUUUUCCCCGGCGAUAAGGGGCCGCAAGUGGUUCAUGGGCGUAGCUUUUUCGCUCUUUAGUAGUUAACUGAGGUAUUGUAACGAGUUGGCAAUAAAACAAGUUAUAAAAUAUGUUUGCUUGGGCGAUACGCAAACAUAUCUAGAUUGUUAACACA